UGGGGAAUUUUGGACAAUGGGCGCAAGCCUGAUCCAGCCAUGCCGCGUGCAGGAUGAAGGCCUUCGGGUUGUAAACUGCUUUUGUACGGAACGAAAAGACUCCUUCUAAUAAAGGGGGUCCAUGACGGUACCGUAAGAAUAAGCACCGGCUAACUACGUGCCAGCAGCCGCGGUAAUACGUAGGGUGCGAGCGUUAAUCGGAAUUACUGGGCGUAAAGCGUGCGCAGGCGGUGAUGUAAGACAGAUGUGAAAUCCCCGGGCUCAACCUGGGAACUGCAUUUGU
rnacentral:rRNA from 1 species